GUUUCUUGUGGUCUCUCAUUAAAUGACUCUCUCCACUCUUUUUCCGAGAUCUUUACUAUUAAUUAUUAAAUGGGAGUUGGCACCCAGGGUGAUGGUACGUCAUUCCCCUCCCCCACACGGUGUGACUCUCGUGUCACAUUCAGUUGGCACCAAAAGUUAGACGGACCUGCCCGAUAUAACCAUUUGCUCCACGUCACCCCAUCGCACAUCUCCCCUUUUCCUGCAGUGCACGCGAUCCUCCCCACCACUACAUUACAGGCUCAAGGAGGAGAAAACUCUGAAGCUGCAGGAGGAGGAGGUGAUGGUAUUGAUGCCAGCGGCGAUUAUCGAACCGAGGCCGUCACGGUGCGCUGGGCGGUGCGACUUGUGUAGUUGGUGUGAGGCGUCUGGAAGCCAUUUCUGCCUGCACAGAGCCCUCAGCGACGGGGUUGGCGAGAUAUCCACCAACCAGCCAUUGAAGUGGAGGUGCAGGUGAGGAUCCUGAACCCGCGCCCACGAGGUAGUUUUUGUGUUAGAUCAACACAUGUUUGAGCUUCAAGCCUCUGAUCCAUCCAUCAGAGAUCUAUAAGUUGUUGGAAGAUGCUGUGCUAGGUGCUUAGAGCCAAGAAAAAGAGAGAUACAGGAAAAGAAGAGGGGAUAGGACGACGGCGGCCUGGCUCCUCCUAUCCUUGUCACCUUGGCGGAUCGGAUCCAUACUUCGCAGCAGCACAGCUCCAUGCUGCGAUCGAGAUUGAUUUUGAUUUGGGGAUCCAAUUUGGAGCAGGGGGGUGACUAAUUAAGGCGGAUUGAGACCUUGAGGUAAUAAAGUGUCCAGAUAGUGGCUGAGAAGGAUUUACAAUUUUAAAUUUAUAUGAAAUUACAAUAUUGAGCUUUAUGCAUUUAAGUGUAUACAUAUUAGUGGUGGCUGGACCUUCGGGCAGGAAAAUUUUGGUGGUGAAGAAAGGCAUCAGAAUUUAUUGUGUCCUGAGUUUAGCAAAUUAGAUAGGGACGGAAAUAAGUUCUUUUUACAGCAUUUACUUGGAAAGUAAUCACACACCUUUCUGUUUUAGUAGCAGAAAGAAAAACCAUGCUAUCUGAAAUUUAAAUUCUGAAUUUUUAUGCAUUAUUAGAACAAAUCAAUGCAUAUAUAUUCCUUAAGUUGUUUGGGAAAGUACAGUAGCUCAUAUAUUUUUUGGGGAGUAAAGUACAACAUUGAAUUAUUUCUGUCUUUUCUAUUGGGAAAUUGACCUGUCAGGGCUGAAGGGGAAAGUGAUUCUCAAGUCAUAAUCAUAUACUUUCCAUGUUCGUUUUGAGAAUCAUGAUAAAAUAGCAUAGUAUCAGUUCUCCCAGAAGAGAACACAUUGAUUGUCAAAUAAUCCUUUUGAAAUAAAUAGUUACUGAUGGAAACAUGUGUUCAUGUUGUAUCUCAAUCUUGCAGGCAAAUCAGACUAUAAUAUUUGUUUAUAAAAAUAGUAGAUUAGAUCUCAGUUCCAGUGUUGUUUAUUUUCCAAGAAAUUGGAGUUGCAUCAUUGUACUGGAAAGAGACCAAAAUAUCUGUGGAUCCUUCGCCAUGAGAAUAGAGGGUUAGUCUGUUUAACCUUGUCAGGAACACUACUGUGAAAGGCAGCAGCAGAAGAAGAAGAAGCAGCAUGGCUGAAAUGCAGCAUUCGGCGGUGACUGUCUGCAGAGAAGCCCACAACAAGAGCUAAUCUGUGACUGACUUCCCUUGACUCCCUAAUCUGUAAUAACUGAUCGCAAUCUCCUGAAAUCACCGUUCGCCCAAUUUGUAACCCGAAACAACGAGUCAAUUAACGACAUCGACUAACAAAUUACGUCA